rnacentral:lncRNA from 1 species
GAGCUCUGAGGUCAGUGAGGGCCUUCUCUGGUCUGUUUUCACAUGUCACUGCAUUCAAGAGUGCAAGGGGACUUUCAAACUCAGGCCCCUUGAGUCCCACGCCAGCCCACUGCUCCCGGACUACUGAGCACACAGCAGAGAGGAAGCAGCUGCCUGCAGGGGAUGGGCCUGGCUGUCACCUGUCCAGGCUGCAGCCAAUCGUUUCUCCAAACAGGCUGCGACAGGAGACCUGGAUAGUGGGAAUUUCACAGCCAGAAAAUACUGGGACACCCCCAUCACAACCAAGCCUUUCCUGGGAGCGAUGAAACAGCUGAGGGCACAGCGGGCAGAUGCUGGCCACCACUGUCCCAAGCUGGGGCUCCCGGCAUGAGGCCACCUCCUCCACACCCCACCCCAGCCAUGAUGGCACGAGCCCCUUCCACGAGCGCAGAAUCUGCACACGUGCCUCAGGGCAGGAAUCUGAAUUCGGGAAAAACAUGACUCAAUCUGGUAAAGAAAAAGGUAACGGUAAUUUUCCAGAAGAUGACCAGAUACAGUGUAAAUCCCAGGACCCAGCAUCAAAGGUCUUUGCGCAAAUCAAGCCCAGGUCUCUGGUGCCAGGAUGCUAUUCUCGGGCGCCUGGCUGACCUCCCCUGCAGCAGUUUCCAACUUCGAGAAAGCAUGGCCCAUCCCUAAUCCUCAGCAUGGUCACCUGGCCAAUCCCAGUCGUCCACCUCAACUGUGUUUGUCAGGGACAAAUAUUUAGAUGUUCUAUGCAUCUGUGGGGUAAUCGGAGUGUUCACAGUCUGGAGGGAAGGUUCACAGAGGUGAAUGAGCCCAGUUUCUGUUCAGGUGCCAGUGGGUCCUGUAAUCGAAAGACCCUUAACCAGUUACACUGGUCCAGCCCAACAGGGUGGGGGUCUCCUCUGGGAGUGAUGAAAAUCUUUUGGAACUAGGAGGAGGGUGGCUGGGCAACACUGUGGAUGUCACUAAUGCCACCAACUUGUGCACCUUAAAAAGGCUGCGUUGUGUGAAUUUCAGCUGUGUUUUUUUUUUUUA